AGCUGCAGUCAAGAAAUCACAGAAUAUGCCAAGUUGGAAGGAACCCACAAGGAUCAUCAAGUCGAACUCUUAGCUCUGCACAAGACCAUCCCCAACAGUCACACCAUGUGCCUGAGAGUAUCAUUCUAACCCUUAAACUCAGACAGGCUUGGUGCUAUGACCA